rnacentral:rRNA from 1 species
GACGAACGCUGGCGGCGUGCCUAAUACAUGCAAGUCGAGCGAGCUGAACCAACAGAUUCACUUCGGUGAUGACGUUGGGAACGCGAGCGGCGGAUGGGUGAGUAACACGUGGGGAACCUGCCCCAUAGUCUGGGAUACCACUUGGAAACAGGUGCUAAUACCGGAUAAGAAAGCAGAUCGCAUGAUCAGCUUAUAAAAGGCGGCGUAAGCUGUCGCUAUGGGAUGGCCCCGCGGUGCAUUAGCUAGUUGGUAGGGUAACGGCCUACCAAGGCAAUGAUGCAUAGCCGAGUUGAGAGACUGAUCGGCCACAUUGGGACUGAGACACGGCCCAAACUCCUACGGGAGGCAGCAGUAGGGAAUCUUCCACAAUGGACGAAAGUCUGAUGGAGCAACGCCGCGUGAGUGAAGAAGGUUUUCGGAUCGUAAAGCUCUGUUGUUGGUGAAGAAGGAUAGAGGUAGUAACUGGCCUUUAUUUGACGGUAAUCAACCAGAAAGUCACGGCUAACUACGUGCCAGCAGCCGCAGUAACAC